rnacentral:rRNA from 1 species
GUGUCAGCCGCCGCGGUAAUACCGGCAGCCCGAGUGAUGGCCGAUCUUAUUGGGCCUAAGGCGUCCGUAGCUGGCCGCACAAGUCCAUCGGAAAAUCCACCCGCCCAACGGGUGGGCGUCCGGUGGAAACUGUGUGGCUUGGGACCGGAAGGCGCGACGGGUACGUCCGGGGUAGGAGUGAAAUCCUGUAAUCCUGGACGGACCGCCGAUGGCGAAAGCACGUCGCGAGGACGGAUCCGACAGUGAGGGACGAAAGCUAGGGUCUCGAACCGGAUUAGAAACCCCAGUAGUCC